AAAAGCACAUCAUGUUAAAUUCUGACUUGCCUGUUUAGUGUAAAAUCCUGUUUAAAAUGAUUAAAUUAAUAAUAAUAAUAAAUCGUUUAAAAUCGGAUGUGGUGAGGGCACAAACAAUGAACUGUGAUAAAGCAGGCCAGGAUUCUUGUCCUUGCCGUCCUUACAGCAGUCCUGUAUGACAUUUUGAGGUGCAAGUUAAUAGUUAUUGUGGACAAAGCCAAUGAUCCCAAAAGAAACAAGGCUCAAUACUGUAUUUUUAUUCAAAGUGCAGGUGCAUAAUGAAAGAAAAACGUUGAAUUAUUCUCUUAGGCGAGCCAUUGUCAGCGUUGCAACUUGAAUGUCCCUAAGCCCGAACCUCCAAAUGAACUGAGUAAGCCGUAAGGUAAUGGAUGCUGCCUAUUUGCAACGAGAUGAAUGAGCAUAAAAGAAAAGCUGGAUAUUGAAUUGGAAAACUGAUAAAAACUAUGUUCUCAGGUUAAACAACCCUGGGAGCUUGUUUUCAUGGAUGUCAUCGGCCCGCUUUGUGAAACAGACAGAGGAAAUAAGUAUAUUGUGUCCAUGACUGACCUCUACAGCAAAUGGGUUGCUGCCGAAUCCUUGAGUUGUAAGAGUGCAGACCAAAUUGCUGAAGCCAUCGUGACCAAAAUGUAUACAUUUGGCAUCAUUAGGAAAAUCAUUACUAAUUUAUGUGCGGAGAUGGUGAAUGUGGUGAGACAUGCUUCGUUUUCCAUUGACGUCUUUGUUAUUGUUCUUUGUUUGCAUUACACAAGUCCUCCCUGUAACUGCUCUAUCCCCAGAUAAAUGAGUGCAUCUUUGAGACGCUUAAAAUCAAAGAGGUCGUAGUAGCAGAGAAUUACAUCAGGACAAGUGGAAAGGUAGAAAAAAUAAAUCAUAGCGUAAAGCGUGGUUUGAGGAAAUACUUCAAUGAGACAAAUAAUGAUUGGGACCUCCUGCUACUUGCAGUGGUAUACGGUCUGAACACAUCUUUGAAAGCAUCCACGAGACACAGCCCUUUUUUCCUUAUGUUUCACCGGCAUCCUAAUUUACCUGAGGUCAUGAACGCAUGUCCCAUGACCAGUAUUGUGGAGGUUACCGAUCCAGAAGAGGACAUUGACACCAUUGUUCACGAAAAGAUGGAACUGGCUGAAAUUGUUAUAGACAACAUUGAAAAGGACAGACAGAGGAAAUUAUUUGGGACCCAUAAGACACCAUUUGUUCCAAUGUGCUCAGACAAUACUGAAGACAAUGUUUCGGUCCCUGACAACCCAAAGAAGCAACAUUUUAAGGGAAGUCUAUAGUUUAUGGACUAAAGAGAGUGAACCAGAAAAAGGACUGAUUGAUUGUAAAGACUUUGCUACUUUGUCCAACACCGUCACAAUCUCUGUAUCAUGGAUACCCUGCCCCCACCACCACCCCACAUACUGCCCUCAACAAUAAGGGCGCAUAUAAAACAAAACAAGGGUCACCAAAUCUACAGUUUGAUUCAAUUUUCAGUUUUGUGCUCAAAGUUUCCACAAAAAUAAAUGUUCUUUUAUUAGAAAUCAAGGCGUAUAUUCACAGCAUUAUUUUUAAUUACUAUUAUGAAUGAUUGUUUUUCCGUCUAUGGCAGUUGGAUAUAA